rnacentral:snRNA from 1 species
GUGCUAUUUUUGGCAGUACAUAUACUAAAAUUGGAACACUACUGAGAGAUUUGCAUAGUCUCUAUGCAAAUGACAAGAAAAUUUGUGAAGCAUUUUUUUUUUUC